AGAUGUCUCACUGUAUUGAAUCAACAAAGCAAUGAGGAGCCGUGGCCACUGAGGGCGUUGAUCCUGCCUGGGACGGACGUGUGUGACCGGAUUCCGUGAUACUUCGCAGCUGUGGCCUUCCCUGAAACUGCUUGGCCUCCUCAGUUGUCCACCUUGCCCUUCUGUUCAUCUGGGAAACUUCAAGACAGACAGAUGCAAGCAGCAGCAUACACAACACCUCACUGCGUUUCAUAAGAGGUUUAACUGAGAUGGACAUAAUCAAGACUCUCGAGACUUCAAAUCCCAGAAUUCGAGACGGUACUGAAGCACUGCUAACACCUGGGACCCUAAUACAGGCAGUGAUGUACGCUCGUGGCCCACUCCUCACUCCCUCUUUGCUCCCUCUUUGUUACCUUCCUCUGAUAAGUCUUCGCUCUCCACCUCGUCUGUGAUCCCUCGUAGCUGCAUUGUGGACCGUUCGAGAGCAUGGAUACUUCGGCCGUGCAGCGAUAAAGGAUGUGACAGAUAAGCCACAUAGAUCCGCCACAAAAAUGUCAGUCCUGUCUGUCCACACCUGCCUCUACACAUGUUGCAAGACCAUAAAACCGAGUGACGUUGCGGGCAACAACAGCCAGCCCAGCCUCUACGAUUCCGCUGCAGCUUCAAAGAAGUCCUCCACAACAGAGGAGGAGGGAUGCUGCUGAGAUAGUGUCUCCACACCAGAUCGGAAGAAGCAUCUUCAGUGUUCCUUCUCCUCCUGUAAAUCCGUCGGAGAAGUAGUAGUAUCUUCUCUCUUCAG